AUGAUCAGUGUUUUGUGUUUUUUUUUUUUUUUUUUUUUCCUUCUAGUUAUGAAGAACCUCCUCCUGAGUUUAUCAUGGAAGAUGAGACUAAGCCAGAAGACUGUAUACCAGAUGUCCCAGGCAAUGAACAUGCCAGGGAAUUUCUGGCCCACGCACCAACCAAAGGACUUUGGAUGCCACUCGGGAAAGAAGUCAAAGUCAUGCAGUGCACAUGAAGAUCCCAUGUAUGACAUCAUACAAGAGAAUAAAAGACACAAAAAGGAUAUAAGGAUACAACAAUCAAAACAAUUACUGGAGGAUUCAGCGUCAGAUGACUAUGGGAGAAGCUCCAGUUCCUCAGAACAGAAACGCAAGAAAAGAAAAAGAAGAAAAAACGAAAGCAUAAGUCUUCCAAGUCAAAUGAGAGUUCGGACACAGAACGACGGAGCCUGGCUUGUUCAACACUCUCCUCUCAAAAACCAAACACUGUGGCCAAAGCUGAGAGGACCCGUGGAGGAAGGCGGAGUCGGAGAGGAACAGGAGAGACGCCCAGAGGGAGGGGCUGUGGAGGCCCAGGUGCGGGUUCUCCCCUGCCUUCCAGGGAGGAUGUGAGUUGUGUGUUGCCAGGUGCUAGCUCUGGCCACGCCUGACUUCAGGCUGGAGAGCUUUUCCCCUUGUGCUCCUCCCUGCUGAUCCCUGUGGGUCCCAACUCCUUAGGAAUGCCUAGGGCAGGGCGGCCAGAUGAAGGGAGUCUCUGAGGAGCUCCUCCGGGGCUGCCGUAGGUUCCCCCUCCAGGGGGGAGCUACCUGUGUAGAGCUCAGGCCUGAUUUCCCUCUGCUGCUGAGGAUAAUAAAAGCUCACUAUUUAUUUUAAAAAUACUCAGUUAUUUUUAAAUCAUCAUAGUAUACUUAUGUCCAAAUUUAGAAGGUGUAUGAGGGGAAUGCCCUGGCAAGUCCAGUGGUUAGGACUCUAUGCUUUCACCACCGUGGCCCGGGUUCAAAUCACUGACUGGCGGAUCAGUGCUAGCUGUGAGGUGUAAUCAGAAAUAUAUAUAUGUAUAAGGUAUAUAUGGUUUUAAUCAUGAAAAACUUUCCUCUUUUCUUCCCCAGCUAUUUAGUUCCCUUUCCCAAUGGCUAUCAAUUUUACUAAUUUUUCAUCAAGUCAUCCAGAAAUAUCUUACGUAUCACAAGCAAAUGUUUUUUUCCCUUUUUUAAUACAAAUGCUAGCAUACCAACCCAUUUGUCUGCAUUGUUUAGGUUUUUUAUUUUUCAGCUCAACAGUGUAAAACAUGUUGGUCUUUGCUAUACACAGAAGUCUCGAGUUCAUGAAACAAAGACAGUGAAAGUCGCUCAGUUGUGUCUGAUUCUUUGCAACCCCAUGGACUAUACAGUCCAUGAAAUUCUCCAGGGGAGAAUACUGGAGUGGGUAGCCUUUUCCUUCUUCAGGGGAUAUUCCCAACCCAGGGAUCGAAACCAGGUCUCCCACAUUGCAGGCAGAUUCUUUACCAGCUGGGCCACAAGGGAAGCCCAUAAAACUCUCUCAUGUUUGGCUGAGUUUUCAGGGGAAGGGAUCAGUUCAGUUCAGUCACUCAGUUGUAUCCGACUCUUUGUGACCCCAUUGACUGCAGCAGGGCAGGUCUCCCUGUCCAUCAUCAACUUCUGGAGUUUACUCAAACUCAUGUCCAUUGAGUCAGUGAUGCCAUCCAACCAUCUUAUCCUCUGUCAUCCCCUUUUCCUCUUGCCUUCAAUCUUUCCCAGCAUCAGGGUGUGUGUGUGUUAGUCGCUCAGUCAUGUCCAACUCUUUGCAACCCCAUGGACUGCAGCCCACCAGGCUCCUCUGUCCAUGAGGUUUUCCAGGCAAGGAUACUGGAGUGGGUUGCCAUUUCCUUCUCCAGGGGAUCUUCCCAACCCAGGGAUCGAACCCAGGUCUCCUGCACUGCAGGCAGAUCCUUUAUUGACUGAGCUACAAGGGAAGCCCAGCAUCAGGGUUCUUGCUCAGUAAAUCUUUAAUCCAAUUUUCUAUUGAUGGGUAGAGCUGUGUUCCCUCCCUGCUAUUUACCUGGGACCAAACUAUGGUGGAGGUAAUGAAGAUAAUGGUGAUCUCCAUCAAAAGAUCCCAUGCAUGUACUGCUACAGUCCGUGCCCCCAACCCUGCAGCAGGCCAUUACCGCCACGCCUUCGCCAGAGACUUCCAGACACCCACAGGCAAGUCUGGGACAGACUCCUGUGGGGUCACUGCCCCUUUCUCCUGGGUCCUGGUGCACAAGGUUCUGUUGUGCCCUCCAAGAGUCUAUUUCCCAGUCCUGUGUAAGUUCUGGCAGCUCUGUGCUUGGGGUUAAUGGCGACCUCCUCCAAGAGGGCUUAUGCCUACCCACACGCAGAGCCUCUGUCCCUGCGGUAGACCACUGCUGACCCAUACCUCCACAGGAGAUGCUCAAACACAGUUCUGUUUCAGUCUCUGUGGGGUUCCUCGGUCCUGGUGCGCACAAACGUCGUUUGAGUCCUCUGAGCGCCUCUGGCAGGAAAGGGGUUUGAUUCUAAACGUGAAUUUGCAACUCUAUACAGUCAACAAAAACAAGACCAGGAGCUGACUGUGGCUCAGAUCAUGAACUCCUUAUUACCAAAUUCAGACUUACAUUGAAGAAAGCAGGGAAAACCGCUAGACCAUUCAGGUAUGACCUAAAUCAAAUCCCUUAUGAUUAUACAGUGGAAGUAAGAAAUAGAUUUAAGGGCCUAGAUCUGAUAGAUAGAGUGCCUGAUGAACUAUAGAAUGAGGUUCGUGACAUUGUACAGGAGACAGGGAUUGAGACCAUCCCCAUGGAAAAGAAAUGCAUAAAAGCAAAAUGGGUGUCUGGGGAAGCCUUACAAAUAGCUGUGAAAAGAAGAGAAGCGAAAAGCAAAGGAGAAAAGGAAACAUAUAAGCAUCGAAUGCAGAGUUCCAAAGAAUAGCAAGGAGAGAUAAGAAAGCCUUCUUCAGCGAUCAAUGCAAAGAAAUAGAGGAAAACAACAGAAUGGGAAAGACUAGAGAUCUCUUCAAGAAAAUUAGAGAUACCAAGGGAACAUUUCAUGCAAAGAUGGGCUCAAUAAAAGACAGACAUGGUAUGGACCUAACAGAAGUAGAAGAUAUUAAGAAGAGGUGGCAAGAAUACACAGAAGAACUGUACAAAAAGGAUCUUCAUGACCCGGAUAAUCACGAUGGUGUGAUCACUCACCUAGAGCCCAGACAUCCUGGAAUGUGAAGUCAAGUGAGCCUUAGGAAGCAUCACUACGAACAAAGCUAGUGGAGGUGAUGGAAUUCCAGUUGAGCUAUUUCAAAUCCUAAAAGAUGAUGCUGUGAAAGUGCUGCACUCAAUAUGCCAGCAAAUUUGGAAAACUCAGCAGUGGCCACAGGACUGGAAAAGGUCAGUUUUCAUUCCAAUCCCAAAGAAAGGCAAGGCCAAAGAAUGCUCAAACCACCACACAAUUGCACUCAUCUCACACGCUAGUAAAGUCAUGCUCAAAAUUCUCCAAGCCAGGCUUCAGCAAUAUGUGAACCGUGAACUUCCUGAUGUUCAAGCUGGUUUUUGAAAAGGCAGAGGAACCAGAGAUCAAAUUGCCAACAUCUGCAGGAUCAUUGAAAAAGCAAGAGAGUUCCAGAAAAACAUCUAUUUCUGCCUUAUUGACUAUGCCAAAGCCUUUGACUGUGUGGAUCACAAUAAACUGGAAAAUUCUGAAAGAGAUGGGAAUACCAGACCACCUAACCUGCCUCUUGAGAAAUCUGUAUGCAGGUCAGGAAGCCAACAGUUAGAACUGGACAUGGAACAACAGACUGGUUCCAAAUAGGAAAAGGAGUACGUCAAGGCUGUAUAUUGUCACCCUGCUUAUUUAACUUAUAUGCAGAGUACAUCAUGAGAAAUGCUGGACUGGAAGAAACACAGGCUGGAAUCAAGAUUGCCAGGAGAAAUAUCAAUAACCUCAGAUAUGAAGAUGACACAACCCUAUGGCAGAAAGUGAAGAGGAACUAAAGAGCCUCUUGAUGAAAGUGAAAGAGGAGAGUGAAAAAGUUGGCUUAAAGCUCAACAUUCAGAAAAUGAAAAUCAUGGCAUCCAGUCCCAUCACUUCAUGGGAAACAGAUGGAGAAACAAUGGAAACAGUGUCAGACUUUAUUUUUUGGGGCUCCAAAAUCACUGCAGAUGGUGACUGCAGCCAUGAAAUUAAAAGACGCUUACUCCUUGGAAGAAAAGUUAUGACCAACCUAGAUAGCAUAUUCAAAAGCAGAGACAUUACUUCGCUGACUAAGGUCUGUCUAGUCAAGGCUAUGGUUUUUCCAGUAGUCAUGUAUGGAUGUGAGAGUUGGACUGUGAAGAAGGCUGAGCACCAAAGAAUUGAUGCUUUUGAACUGUGGUGUUGGAGAAGACUCUUGAGAGUCCCUUGGACUGCAAGGAGAUCCAACCAGUCCAUUCUGAAGGAGAUGAGCCCUGGGAUUUCUUUGGAAGGAAUGAUGCUAAAGCUGAAACUCCAGUACUUUGGCCACCUCAUAGAAGAGUUGACUCAUUGGAAAAGACUUUGAUGCUCAGAGGGAUUGGGGGCAGGAGAAGAAGGGUACGACCAAGGAUGAGAUGGCUGGAUGGCAUCACUGACUCAAUGGAUGCGAGUCUGAGUGAACUCUGGGAGUUGGUGAUGGACAGGGAAGCCUGACGUGCU
ensembl:lincRNA